rnacentral:lncRNA from 1 species
CAAAACUGCACAGCCCCUAAGAAUUCCCUCACCUGCCCCCUUUGUGACCUCAUACAAAGGCUUGGCUAAUACUGCAAAGUUUGGGAUGCAGAGUCUACAAAACCCCACAGCCCCUAAGAAUUCCCUCACCUGCCUUCUGCCCUUAGGCUCCGGUAGACUGCAAAUGACCUGCUUUCUUUCUGUUCCCGGGCUGCGUUUGGACCCCUGUCGGACAGUAAAUCCCAAGUAAGGAAUGGAACAGAUAAGAAGAUACUGAAAUUGGACGGUGCUGCCGUGCGGCUGCCGCAGGACACCUUUAAUAUCCCUGUUUCUCAGGCUGUAGAUGAAGGGGUUCAGCAUGGAGGUGAUCACCGUGUACAUCACUGAGGCCACUGCAGCCUUUCUCGGGGAAGAUGACACAUCUGAACUGAGGUACCCUCCAAAGCCUGUUCCGUAAAAUCAGCAAACAACUGACAGGAUAACUUCAGGAAGUGGGUAUUAAUUCUCACGGUAUAAGUGAAGACAUUAAGCACCAGAGUUUAAGUAGCUUGAUCCACUGAAAGAGAUUCAACUGUGUGGAACCUAUGCCGUGGAGAAUUGCUUUCUGCCAUUGUUAUCGUCCAGCAGUUGCCGAAUAGCUCUGACCUGAGCAAAGCAGUGAAACGCGGUGCUGUUGAGUGGGUUGCCACUGCACCUUUUUCAACUACUCUAGUCUUGUGGAGAAAAUACCCCUUCUAAAUUUUUUCUUCAUUGAAUACUCUCCCUCAGCUCCAGAGUACCAUAUAGAGUUUUCUUGUAUUUUAGAGUUACUGUUUUAUCAAAGUUUACCAGUCUUUUGUAUUACAUUUCUCCUGUCUAAAUCGACUGUGUGGUUUCUACUCAUUAUGGAUAUAGAUUGAUACAAACUCAAUAAAUAUUUUUGAAUGAAUAACUCCACAGUCCAAGUUAUUUUAAUCACUAUACAAAAUCUCCAGAGUUUCUCCCAUAUUUCUGAACAUGGUAACUAUGUAUCAAGAGACAAACCACAAAUUUAAAGAAGGUGUGGUCAAAUUUU